rnacentral:rRNA from 1 species
UACGAGGGGUGCAAGCGUUACUCGGAAUUACUGGGCGUAAAGCGUGCGUAGGUGGUUCGUUAAGUCUGUCGUGAAAGCCCCGGGCUCAACCUGGGAAUGGCGAUGGAUACUGGCGGGCUAGAGUGCGGUAGAGGAGAGUGGAAUUCCCGGUGUAGCAGUGAAAUGCGUAGAGAUCGGGAGGAACAUCAGUUGCGAAGGCGGCUCUCUGGACCAGCACUGACACUGAGGCACGAAAGCGUGGGGAGCAAACAGG